CUUUCAGGCGAGCAGGCCUCCGGGAGGCUGAGUUUUAACCCUCUACCUUGCAGGUCGGCUUUGGUGAAACCAACUUUGUUAGCGCAGAAAGAAAAAUAACAAACAGAACAGAGCAGAGCGGAAAACAAGAGUAAAGGUCUCGAUUCUUAUGUGCUACAGGCCGUCUGUACCUUCACAGCCACGCUCAAUCUGCCCGCUGCGGAAAAGCGCGUCGUUGAUGAGGUUUGGCAGGCGGCCGUUGAGGUCGACGGAGGCCAAGCAGCCCUGGAAGCCCUCCCGAGAAACGACCAGCUUAGGGAGGUUCUGGUACAUGUUGGGUCCGAGACCUCCGAUAAACAGGUCACCUGGGAGGAAGAGAGAGAAUGAAGCAUCUGACCACAUCGGACGUUAUACCUGAAGAUGCCCGAUGAAGGAGGACGGAGCAGAGGAGACAAAGCGCCUCUCGGUCAAGAUGCCUGUCUCCACGUUGUUGAACUCCAGACGGGUGUGGUCGCC